ACCUACGGGGGGCAGCAGUGGGGGAUAUUGCACAAUGGGGGGAACCCUGAUGCAGCGACGCCGCGUGGGUGAAGGAGCGUUUCGGCGCGUAAAGCCCUAUCGGCAGGGAAGAAGGAGGACGGUACCUGACUAAGAAGCCCCGGCUAACUACGUGCCAGCAGCCGCGGUAAUACGUAGGGGGCAAGCGUUAUCCGGAUUUACUGGGUGUAAAGGGAGCGUAGACGGCAUGGCAAGCCAGAUGUGAAAUACCGGGGCUCAACCCCGGGACUGCAUUUGGAACUGUUAAGCUGGAGUGUCGGAGGGGG
rnacentral:rRNA from 1 species